GACGAACGCUGGCGGCGUGCUUAACACAUGCAAGUCGAACGGAAAGGCCCUGCUUUUGUGGGGUGCUCGAGUGGCGAACGGGUGAGUAACACGUGAGUAACCUGCCCUUGACUUUGGGAUAACUUCAGGAAACUGGGGCUAAUACCGGAUAGGAGCUCCUGCUGCAUGGUGGGGGUUGGAAAGUUUCGGCGGUUGGGGAUGGACUCGCGGCUUAUCAGCUUGUUGGUGGGGUAGUGGCUUACCAAGGCUUUGACGGGUAGCCGGCCUGAGAGGGUGACCGGCCACAUUGGGACUGAGAUACGGCCCAGACUCCUACGGGAGGCAGCAGUGGGGAAUAUUGCACAAUGGGCGGAAGCCUGAUGCAGCAACGCCGCGUGCGGGAUGACGGCCUUCGGGUUGUAAACCGCUUUCGCCUGUGACGAAGCGUGAGUGACGGUAAUGGGUAAAGAAGCACCGGCUAACUACGUGCCAGCAGCCGCGGUGAUACGUAGGGUGCGAGCGUUGUCCGGAUUUAUUGGGCGUAAAGGGCUCGUAGGUGGUUGAUCGCGUCGGAAGUGUAAUCUUGGGGCUUAACCCUGAGCGUGCUUUCGAUACGGGUUGACUUGAGGAAGGUAGGGGAGAAUGGAAUUCCUGGUGGAGCGGUGGAAUGCGCAGAUAUCAGGAGGAACACCAGUGGCGAAGGCGGUUCUCUGGGCCUUUCCUGACGCUGAGGAGCGAAAGCGUGGGGAGCGAACAGGCUUAGAUACCCUGGUAGUCCACGCUGUAAACGGUGGGUACUAGGUGUGGGGUCCAUUCCACGGGUUCCGUGCCGUAGCUAACGCUUUAAGUACCCCGCCUGGGGAGUACGGCCGCAAGGCUAAAACUCAAAGGAAUUGACGGGGCCCCGCACAAGCGGCGGAGCAUGCGGAUUAAUUCGAUGCAACGCGUAGAACCUUACCUGGGUUUGACAUGGAUCGGGAGUGCUCAGAGAUGGGUGUGCCUCUUUUGGGGUCGGUUCACAGGUGGUGCAUGGCUGUCGUCAGCUCGCGUCGUGAGAUGUUGGGUUAAGUCCCGCAACGAGCGCAACCCUUGUUCACUGUUGCCAGCACGUUAUGGUGGGGACUCAGUGGAGACCGCCGGGGUCAACUCGGAGGAAGGUGGGGAUGACGUCAAGUCAUCAUGCCCCUUAUGUCCAGGGCUUCACGCAUGCUACAAUGGCUGGUACAGAGAGUGGCGAGCCUGUGAGGGUGAGCGAAUCUCGGAAAGCCGGUCUCAGUUCGGAUUGGGGUCUGCAACUCGACCUCAUGAAGUCGGAGCCGCUAGUAAUCGCAGAUCAGCAACGCUGCGGUGAAUACGUUCCCGGGGCU
rnacentral:rRNA from 1 species